GGGUUCUGGAGUGCUGGGGUGACCCAAGGGUGACCCAAGGGUGACCCAAGGGUGACCCAUCUAUCUGCCUCUUUAAAACGGCCAGGAGCGUCCACCAUACGGCAGUUCAACGGAACUUAGCAGAAGAAAAACCUCACCAUGUCGAAAUGGCUUCCUCUGGCUUCACUCCUGCUGCUGCUGCUCCUCGUAUGGACGGAGACAGUGGCUCCAGCCCAAGUGGAUCUCGAAAGACUGGACGUCAUGGAAGAGAUAGAAAGACAAGGCGCAGGUGGAAACGCCACCGCGCUUAGUUGGCCUAUCGGGUAUCCAUACCAUCCUAUUAACCUGUGUGGUGACAGGGGUUGUUCGGCUCGCGGUGGAACGUGUGGAUAUGCCAACUAUUUCAAAAAAUGCUCACUGAAGACCAUUACUUUGUGCUCUGGAUUAUGCACCUGCUGUGUCCCAUAAGCUCCCCCGGGAGACGGCCGGGCCAGCAUCCACACUUCGAGGACGACGAAUUUGGACUGACGAAAGAAUGACUCCAUUUCGGGGACACUCAGAAGACGUACUGAGGCCACAGUUUGCUCAACAAAAACUGUGAUCGAAGGACGAAAACACUCCACGCUAUUUACUGAAAAGCGAUUUCUUGAGUUACCUCAAUGGCAUAAAAUGAAAUUAGUAUCUCACCGAAUUCAUUUUGACGCCGUUGAUAAAACCAAGAAGGCAGUCACUAGAUCAUUUUUGACUGACAGGGAGAGUUGGAAUAGCUUCGGAAGAAUCUGAAGACAAUGAUUCACAAUGAACGAUUGUCAAGACCAGAAAGUGUUUUUGAGUGUUCCUAUAAAGUGCAUAAAAUUUUACUUUCAUUAUAUUUGUUCCUUUUUUUGUUUAUUUACUGCUGCCUUUAUCAACAUUGCAUUAGUUCCUUGCACAAAGGCAAUUCUGCCCACAGAAGCCAAUCACUGUAGUGACAGUAGUCGACAAAUCUGUAAGAACUCGGCUACAGCAAUUUUCUCUUUAAUCUGAAAAUUUAACGACUUUUUGCUUGUGACAAAACUGGAAGGUUUUCUUGGGGGGAGGGAACCAGUUGGAGAUGGAAGCCGAGUCCACGGCAUUGGUUGUCCUACAUUUCACUGGUCUUCAAAUACGGUUUCUGUUCGAUUUCAUCAGAUUUUGCACAAAUUAGAGCACCGCUCUCUCUCUCUCUCUCUGUAUUAAAGUAUUAGAGUGAUGAAUUGUUGAACACUGUAAAACACCAAAAGGUAAUAAAUAGAAAAACUUUCA